rnacentral:rRNA from 1 species
AACGAACGCUGGCGGCAUGCCUAACACAUGCAAGUCGAACGAGACCUUCGGGUCUAUUGGCGCACGUGUGCGUAACGCGUGGUAACCUGCCCUUAGGUUCGGAAUAACUCCCCGAAAGGGGUGCUAAUACCGGAUAAUGUCUUCGGACCAAGGAGUUAUCGCCUUUGGAUGGGCGCGCGUUGGCUUAGCUAGUUGGUAGGGUAAAAGCCUACCAAGGCGACGAUGCAUAGCUGGUCUGAGAGGAUGAUAAGCCACACUGGGACUGAGACCCGGCCCAGACUCCUACGGGAGGGAGCAGUGGGGAAUAUUGGACAAUGGGCGAAAGCCUGAUCCAGCCAUGCCGCGUGAGUGAUGAAGGCCUUAGGGUUGUACAGCUCUUUUACCCGAGAUGAUAAUGACAGUACCGGGAGAAUAAGCUCCGGCUAACUACGUG